rnacentral:rRNA from 1 species
AUUCAGUCAUGCAUAGCAUAUCAAUAAGCGGAGGAAAAGAAACUAACAAGGAUUCCCCUAGUAACGGCGAGUGAAGCGGGAAGAGCUCAAAUUUGAAAUCUUAAAGGGUUUCCCUUUACGAAUUGUAGUUUAAAGAAGUGUUUUCUGUUGAGGUUUUGGUAAAAGUUCUUUGGAAUAGGACAUCAUAGAGGGUGAGAAUCCCGUAUUUGACCUUUACUUUCAACUUUGUGAUACACUUUCAAAGAGUCGGAUUGUUUGGGAAUGCAGUCCAAAAUGGGUGGUAAAUUUCAUCUAAAGCUAAAUAUUGGCGAGAGACCGAUAGCGAACAAGUACCGUGAGGGAAAGAUGAAAAGAACUUUGAAAAGAGAGUUAAACAGUACGUGAAAUUGUCAAAAGGGAAGCGUUUGACACCAGUGUUGUUUUUCUGAAAAUCAAUUAAAGAACUGUUUAUGCUAAGUUGUUUAGACUUUAUCAGCUAACUGUUUAAUUUUGAGCUUUUCUUUAAUGCACUUCUCAGUUAACAAGUCAACAUCAAUUUCUUUUGCUGUAAAAAAGCUUGAGGAAGGUGGCUUGAGAUUCGUCUUAAGUGUUUAUAGCCUCUUGCCUAUGCAGUCGGAGAGAUUGAGGUCUGCAGCGUAGAUCCUUCGGGGCUAAAUGCAUUUGUGCUAAGUUAUAGCAUUUUAUAGACAACUUGUUGACUAUGAUUUGUCUUGUAGCUUACUCGCUUAUGUUAUUUUACCUACGCUUAGGAUGUUGACGCGCGUGUGUGCGUG